UGUAUAAUGGGUCAGCGACUUAUAUUCUGUAGCAAGGUUAACCGAAUAGGGGAGCCGAAGGGAAACCGAGUCUUAACUGGGCGUUAAGUUGCAGGGUAUAGACCCGAAACCCGGUGAUCUAGCCAUGGGCAGGUUGAAGGUUGGGUAACACUAACUGGAGGACCGAACCGACUAAUGUUGAAAAAUUAGCGGAUGACUUGUGGCUGGGGGUGAAAGGCCAAUCAAACCGGGAGAUAGCUGGUUCUCCCCGAAAGCUAUUUAGGUAGCGCCUCGUGAAUUCAUCUCCGGGGGUAGAGCACUGUUUCGGCAAGGGGGUCAUCCCGACUUACCAACCCGAUGCAAACUGCGAAUACCGGAGAAUGUUAUCACGGGAGACAC
rnacentral:rRNA from 1 species